rnacentral:rRNA from 1 species
GAUGAACGCUGGCGGUAUGCCUAACACAUGCAAGUCGUACGAGAGUUUUUAACUCUAGUGGCGGACGGGUGAGUAACACGUGAGAAUUUGCCUUUAGGAGGGGGAUAACAAUUGGAAACGAAUGCUAAUACCCCAUAUGCUUUUGAGUGAAAUGGAUUUUAUCCGCCUAGAGAGAAGCUCGCGGCUGAUUAGCUUGUUGGUAAGGUAAGAGCUUACCAAGGCGACGAUCAGUAUCUGGUUUGAGAGGACGAUCAGACACACUGGAACUGAGACACGGUCCAGACUCCUACGGGAGGCAGCAGUGGGGAAUUUUGGACAAUGGACGCAAGUCUGAUCCAGCCAUGCCGCGUGCGGGAAGAAGGCCUUCGGGUUGUAAACCGCUUUUGUCAGGGAAGAAAUCUUCUGAAUUAAUACCUCGGGAGGAUGACGGUACCUGAAGAAUAAGCACCGGCUAACUACGUG